rnacentral:rRNA from 1 species
UUGAACGCUGGCGGCAUGCCUUACACAUGCAAGUCGAGCGGUAACAGGUCUUCGGAUGCUGACGAGUGGCGAACGGGUGAGUAAUACAUCGGAACGUGCCCGAUCGUGGGGGAUAACGCAGCGAAAGCUGUGCUAAUACCGCAUACGAUCUACGGAUGAAAGCAGGGGACCGCAAGGCCUUGCGCGGACGGAGCGGCCGAUGGCAGAUUAGGUAGUUGGUGGGAUAAAAGCUUACCAAGCCGACGAUCUGUAGCUGGUCUGAGAGGACGACCAGCCACACUGGGACUGAGACACGGCCCAGACUCCUACGGGAGGCAGCAGUGGGGAAUUUUGGACAAUGGGGGAAACCCUGAUCCAGCCAUGCCGCGUGCAGGAUGAAGGCCUUCGGGUUGUAAACUGCUGUUACAGGGGACGAAGGUUCUGCUGGCGAACAGCCGGCGGGACUUGACGGUACCUUGGAAGAAAGCCACGGCUAACUCCGU